UGUUACAAUGGCAGGUACAGAGGGAUGCUACCGGGCGACCGGAUGCGGAUCUCGAAAGCCUGUCCCAGUUCGGACUGGAGUCUGCAACCCGACUCCACGAAGUUGGAUUCGCUAGUAAUCGCGCAUCAGCCAUGGCGCGGUGAAUACGUUCCCGGGCCUUGUACACACCGCCCGUCAAGCCAUGGGAGCCGGGGGGCGCCUGAAGUCCGGGACCGCGAGGACCGGCCUAGGGCGAAACUGGUAACUGGGGCUAAGUCGUAACAAGGUAUC
rnacentral:rRNA from 1 species